rnacentral:rRNA from 1 species
GACAGAGGGUGCAAACGUUGUUCGGAAUUACUGGGCGUAAAGCGCACGUAGGCGGUCUUUUAAGUCGGGGGUGAAAUCCUGGAGCUCAACUCCAGAACUGCCUUCGAUACUGGAAGACUCGAGUCCGGGAGAGGUGAGUGGAACUGCGAGUGUAGAGGUGAAAUUCGUAGAUAUUCGCAAGAACACCAGUGGCGAAGGCGGCUCACUGGCCCGGUACUGACGCUGAGGUGCGAAGACGUGGGGAGGCAAACAGG